CAAUUAAACAGAACAUAUUUGUUUGUUCAGAUCACAUCCUUAGAAGUGAUUUCUUAUAUAAGGAAGAUAAUAUUAUCAGUAGCCAGACUUUAUUAAAAAAAUGAGCUCUACCUCAAAGGUAAUUUUUUUUAAAUAUAUUUUUCUAGUAUAAAAAAAUCGUCAAAAAAAGGAUUAGUGUUACUCAUAUAAGCUUUAUUUAUACCUAAUACUUAUUAAAUUAGGUAUGUAUGUAAAACUAUUUUUUUACUAGGAUUUCUGAUGCACUGGUUAAAAACACAGCAGCCGAUAAUUCAGUUAAUUUACCAAGUGAUUUAUCCUUCAAAGCUGCAGGGGUAGCUUUCCUAAAGAGUGCAAAAACUUCUUUAGCUUCCAAAAUGGUAUAUAGUACAAACAGUGAAGCUAAUAUAGACAAAUCUGAUCAUUCAUCAUCAACAAUAACUGCAUCUGAGAUUAAUAGUUCUACAGUAACCGUGGGGUCUAGGUCAACAAUUACUAUUUCUCAUCCAAGCCGUUUUUGUUUAACUGCUACACAUUCCCUGACUCUGCCAAGGAAAAGGGUAAAAUCAAAAUGAUAUCCUGAGGACCUAAGCACUGAUGAUUCCACCGUUUCAAAAGCUAAAUCACUUGUUACCAAAUUAUGGAAAAAAAAUAAAGAACAAAAAAUUAAAAUUCGAAGAUUGCAAUAAACAAAUUUGCCCCAAAGAAAUUGAAUUAGAUGUCUCAAUUCAUUAUUUAAAUACUUAAGAAAUAAUAACAUGAUUUUCGAAAAAGUCCAACAUACUACAUAUUUUAUUUGACUUGUAAAAGUACUUGUUUGUAUAUUACUACUAAUAAACUAAUCUAAUCUAUUGUACAUAGUCUUUAUUCUUAGGUAAGCUUUGUUUUUUAGUAUAAAUUAAUAUGAUAUAAUAUUUGGUAUU